GUGGGGAAUAUUGGACAAUGGGCGAAAGCCUGAUCCAGCCACGCCGCGUGUGUGAUGAAGGUCUUCGGAUCGUAAAGCACUGUGGAGAGGGACGAACAAGUAGCGGGAACAAUACCCCGUUGCCCUGACGGUACCUCUUUAGCAAGCACCGGCCAACUCCGUGCCAGCAGCCGCGGUAAUACGGAGGGUGCAAACGUUGCUCGGAAUCAUUGGGCGUAAAGCGCGUGUAGGCGGCACGUUAAGUCGAGUGUGAAAGCCCUGGGCUCAACCCAGGAAGUGCGCUCGAAACUGGCGAGCUUGAGUACGGGAGAGGGUAGUGGAAUUCCCGGUGUAGAGGUGAAAUUCGUAGAUAUCGGGAGGAACACCAGUGGCGAAGGCGGCUACCUGGACCGAUACUGACGCUGAGACGCGAAAGCGUGGGUAGCAAACAGGAUUAGAUACCCCUGUAGUCC
rnacentral:rRNA from 1 species